CUCCAAUAGCGUAUAUUAAAGUUGCCUGCAGUUAAGAAGCUCGUAGUUUAAUCUCGGUAUUAUUGUUGCCUGCUGGCUUUAGAGGCGCCAGCUGGCCUAGCGGUGCAUAGGUGAGCCUUUGUAGCGUGAGUCGGCGUGUAAGCGGUGAUACCUUUCAGCCAUGUCUGUGGUACAAUAUCCACAGGUGUAGGCGAGCGCCAGGCGGUGCCCUGCAACUGUGGGGUUCGUCGGCUUGUCUGCAUGCCUAUGGGUGCCCUUUAAAAGGUGUCUGUGGGCGGAUGGCUCGUAUACUUUGAACAAAUUUGAGUGCUCAAACCAGGCCGAUGCUGCCUGAAAAGUUUUGCAUGGACUAAUGGAAUAGGACUUCGGUUCUAUUUCGCUGGUUCUUCGGAUCCUAAGAAAUU
rnacentral:rRNA from 1 species